GGUUAAGUUAGAAAGGGCGCACGGUGGAUGCCUUGGCACUAGGAGCCGAAGAAGGACGGGACUAACACCGAUAUGCUUUGGGGAGCUGUACGUAAGCGUUGAUCCAGAGAUUUCCGAAUGGGGGAACCCACUAUCUUUAGUCGGAUAGUAUCCUUACGUGAAUACAUAGCGUGAGGAAGGCAGACCCAGGGAACUGAAACAUCUAAGUACCUGGAGGAAGAGAAAGAAAAAUCGAUUUCCUGAGUAGCGGCGAGCGAAACGGAAAGAGCCCAAACCAAGAAGCUUGCUUCUUGGGGUUGUAGGACACUCUAUACGGAGUUACAAAAGAAAGUUAUAAAUGAAGCGGUCUGGAAAGGCCCGCCAAAGACGGUAACAGCCCGGUAGUUGAAAUGGCUUUCCCUCCAGAGUGGAUCCUGAGUACGGCGGAACACGUGAAAUUCCGUCGGAAUCCGGGAGGACCAUCUCCCAAGGCUAAAUACUCCCUAGUGACCGAUAGUGAACCAGUACCGUGAGGGAAAGGUGAAAAGCACCCCGGAAGGGGAGUGAAACAGUUCCUGAAACCGUGUGCCUACAAGUAGUUAGAGCCCGUUAAUGGGUGAUAGCGUGCCUUUUGUAGAAUGAACCGGCGAGUUACGAUUUGUUGCAAGGUUAAGCGGAAAAAGCGGAGCCGUAGCGAAAGCGAGUCUGAAUAGGGCGCAUAAGUAACAGGUCGUAGACCCGAAACCAGGUGAUCUACCCAUGUCCAGGAUGAAGGUAAGGUAAUACUUACUGGAGGUCCGAACCCACGCACGUUGAAAAGUGCGGGGAUGAGGUGUGGGUAGCGGAGAAAUUCCAAUCGAACUUGGAGAUAGCUGGUUCUCUCCGAAAUAGCUUUAGGGCUAGCCUCGAGGUAAAGAGUCAUGGAGGUAGAGCACUGUUUGGACUAGGGGCCCUUCUCGGGUUACCGAAUUCAGAUAAACUCCGAAUGCCAUGUACUUAUACUCGGGAGUCAGACUGCGAGUGAUAAGAUCCGUAGUCGAAAGGGAAACAGCCCAGACCACCAGUUAAGGUCCCCAAAUAUAUGUUAAGUGGAAAAGGAUGUGGGGUUGCUUAGACAACCAGGAUGUUGGCUUAGAAGCAGCCACCAUUGAAAGAGUGCGUAAUAGCUCACUGGUCGAGUGACCCCGCGCCGAAAAUGUACCGGGGCUAAACAUAUUACCGAAACUGUGGAUGAACCUCUUUAGAGGUUCGUGGUAGGAGAGCGUUCUAAGGGCGGUGAAGUCAGACCGGAAGGACUGGUGGAGCGCUUAGAAGUGAGAAUGCCGGUAUGAGUAGCGAAAGAAGGGUGAGAAUCCCUUCCACCGAAUAUCUAAGGUUUCCUGAGGAAGGCUCGUCCGCUCAGGGUUAGUCGGGACCUAAGCCGAGGCCGAUAGGCGUAGGCGAUGGACAACAGGUAGAGAUUCCUGUACCAGUGCUAAUUGUUUAACCGAUGGGGUGACACAGAAGGAUAGGGAAUCGCACGAAUGGAAAUGUGCGUCCAAGCAGUGAGUGUGAGAAGUAGGCAAAUCCGCUUCUCGCGAAGCAUGAGCUGUGAUGGGGAAGGAAAUUAAGUACGGAAGUUCCUGAUUUCACGCUGUCAAGAAAAGCCUCUAGGAAGAGUAGUACUGCCCGUACCGCAAACCGACACAGGUAGAUGAGGAGAGAAUCCUAAGGUGAGCGAGAGAACUCUCGUUAAGGAACUCGGCAAAAUGACCCCGUAACUUCGGGAGAAGGGGUGCUCUAUUAGGGUGCAAGCCCGAGAGAGCCGCAGUGAAUAGGCCCAGGCGACUGUUUAGCAAAAACACAGGUCUCUGCAAAACCGUAAGGUGACG
rnacentral:rRNA from 1 species